AUUGAACGCUGGCGGCAGGCUUAACACAUGCAAGUCGAGCGGGGUGAUGGUGCUUGCACUAUCACUUAGCGGCGGACGGGUGAGUAAUGCUUAGGAAUCUGCCUAUUAGUGGGGGACAACAUCUCGAAAGGGAUGCUAAUACCGCAUACGUCCUACGGGAGAAAGCAGGGGAUCACUUGUGACCUUGCGCUAAUAGAUGAGCCUAAGUCGGAUUAGCUAGUUGGUGGGGUAAAGGCCUACCAAGGCGACGAUCUGUAGCGGGUCUGAGAGGAUGAUCGGCCACACUGGGACUGAGAAACGGCCCAGACUCCUCCGGGAGGCAGCAGUGGGGAAUAUUGGACAAUGGGGGGAACCCUGAUCCAGCCAUGCCGCGUGUGUGAAGAAGGCCUUAUGGUUGUAAAGCACUUUAAGCGAGGAGGAGGCUCUUUUGGUUAAUACCCAAGAUGAGUGGACGUUACUCGCAGAAUAAGCACCGGCUAACUCUGUGCCAGCCGCCGCCGUAACAC
rnacentral:rRNA from 1 species